rnacentral:piRNA from 1 species
UGCCCGAGGAACCACAAGUGCGCGUGUGCA